rnacentral:rRNA from 1 species
CCUACGGGGGGCGGCAGUGAGGAAUAUUGCACAAUGGGCGAAAGCCUGAUGCAGCAACGCCGCGUGGAGGAUGACGCAUUUCGGUGUGUAAACUCCUUUUAUGAGUCAAGAAAAUGACGGUAGCUCAUGAAUAAGCACCGGCUAACUCCGUGCCAGCAGCCGCGGUAAUACGGAGGGUGCAAGCGUUACUCGGAAUCACUGGGCGUAAAGGACGCGUAGGCGGGUUGUCAAGUCAGAUGUGAAAUCCUACAGCUUAACUGUAGAACUGCAUUUGAAACUGGCAACCUAGAGUAUGGGAGGGGGAGAUGGAAUUAGUGGUGUAGGGGUAAAAUCCGUAGAUAUCACUAGGAAUACCGAAAGCGAAGGCGAUCUCCUGGAACAUUACUGACGCUGAGGCGUGAAAGCGUGGGGAGCAAACGGGAUUAGAUACCCCGGUAGUCCACGCCCUAAACGAUGAACACUAGUCGUCGGGAUGCUUGUCAUCUCGGUGAUGCACUUAACAGAUUAAGUGUUCCGCCUGGGGAGUACGGUCGCAAGAUUAAAACUCAAAGGAAUUGACGG